rnacentral:rRNA from 1 species
CGGCGGACGGGUGAGUAACACGUGGAUAACCUACCUAUAAGACUGGGAUAACUUCGGGAAACCGGAGCUAAUACCGGAUAAUAUUUUGAACCGCAUGGUUCAAAAGUAAAAGACUGUCUUGCUGUCACUUAUAGAUGGAUCCGCGCUGCAUUAGCUAGUUGGUAAGGUAACGGCUUACCAAGGCAACGAUGCAUAGCCGACCUUAGAGGGUGAUCGGCCACACUGGAACUGAGACACGGUCCAG